GCGGGCGUAGUAUAGCGGUCAUUAUGUCAGUUUUCCAAACUGAAGAUACGGGUUCGAUUCCCGUCGCCCGCUCCA
rnacentral:tRNA from 2 species